AGUACAGACGAGUUUGAUCAUGGCUCAGAACGAACGCUGGCGGCAUGCCUAACACAUGCAAGUCGAACGAGACCUUCGGGUCUAGUGGCGCACGGGUGCGCAACGCGUGGGAAUCUGCCCUUGGGUUCGGAAUAACUCAGAGAAAUUUGAGCUAAUACCGAAUGAUGUCGCAAGACCAAAGAUUUAUCGCCCAAGGAUGAGCCCGCGUAGGAUUAGCUUGUUGGUGAGGUAAAAAGCUCACCAAGGCGACGAUCCUUAGCUGGUCUGAGAGGAUGAUCAGCCACACUGGGACUGAGACACGGCCCAGACUCCUACGGGAGGCAGCAGUGGGGAAUAUUGGACAAUGGGCGAAAGCCUGAUCCAGCAAUGCCGCGUGAGUGAUGAAGGCCUUAGGGUUGUAAAGCUCUUUUACCAGGGAUGAUAAUGACAGUACCUGGAGAAUAAGCUCCGGCUAACUCCGUG
rnacentral:rRNA from 1 species